UACGUAGGGGGCUAGCGUUGUCCGGAUUUAUUGGGCGUAAAGAGCGUGUAGGCGGCCAGGUAGGUCUGCUGUGAAAACUCGAGGCUCAACCUCGAGACGUCGGCGGAAACCAUCUGGCUAGAGUCCGGAAGAGGAGGGUGGAAUACCCAGUGUAGAGGUGAAAUUCGUAGAUAUUGGGUGGAACACCGGUGGCGAAGGCGGGUCUCUGGGCCGAUACUGACGCUGAGGAGCGAAAGCGUGGGGAGCGAACAGG
rnacentral:rRNA from 1 species